rnacentral:rRNA from 1 species
UACGUAGGCAGCGAGCGUUGUUCGGAAUUACUGGGCGUAAAGAGUGUGUAGGCGGUGCUCUAAGUUCGGUGUGAAAUCUCCUGGCUUAACUGGGAGGGUGCGCCGGAAACUGGAGUGCUCGAACGUGGGAGAGGAAAGCGGAAUUCCUGGUGUAGCGGUGAAAUGCGUAGAUAUCGGGAGGAACACCUAUGGCGAAGGCAGCUCGCUGGGACGUUACUGACACUGAGGCGCGACAGCGUGGGGAGCAAACAGG